rnacentral:rRNA from 1 species
CAAUGGACGGAAGUCUGACCGAGCAACGCCGCGUGAGUGAAGAAGGUUUUCGGAUCGUAAAGCUCUGUUGUAAGAGAAGAACGAGUGUGAGAGUGGAAAGUUCACACUGUGACGGUAUCUUACCAGAAAGGGACGGCUAACUACGUGCCAGCAGCCGCGGUAAUACGUAGGUCCCGAGCGUUGUCCGGAUUUAUUGGGCGUAAAGCGAGCGCAGGCGGUUAGAUAAGUCUGAAGUUAAAGGCUGUGGCUUAACCAUAGUACGCUUUGGAAACUGUUUAACUUGAGUGCAAGAGGGGAGAGUGGAAUUCCAUGUGUAGCGGUGAAAUGCGUAGAUAUAUGGAGGAACACCGGUGGCGAAAGCGGCUCUCUGGCUUGUAACUGACGCUGAGGCUCGAAAGCGUGGGGAGCAAACAGGAUUAGAUACCCUGGUAGUCCACGCCGUAAACGAUGAGUGCUAGGUGUUAGACCCUUUCCGGGGUUUAGUGCCGCAGCUAACGCAUUAAGCACUCCGCCUGGGGAGUACGACCGCAAGGUGAAACUCAAAGGAAUUGACGGG